UGUGGGUUAGUAUAACAAUACCACUGACUUAGGAUCAGUAAAUAAGCAAUACGCUUACCCGCCA
rnacentral:tRNA from 1 species